rnacentral:rRNA from 1 species
GACGAACGCUGGCGGCGUGCCUAAUACAUGCAAGUAGGACGCAGUUGCGAACGGGUGAGUAACGCGUAGGUAACUACCUAUUAGAGGGGGAUAACAAUUGGAAACGAUAGCUAAUACCGCAUACUAGUAGAUGUACCUGAGUUGUAUUAGCUAGUAGGUAGGGUAAUGGCCUACCUAGGCAACGAUACAUAGCCGACCUGAGGAGGUGAGCGGCCACACUGGGACUGAGACACGGCCCAGACUCCGUCGGGAGGCAGCGGGAGGGAAACGUCGGGAAUGGGGGGAACCCUGACCGAGCAACGCCGCGGGAGUGAAGAAGGUUUUCGGAUCGUAAAGCUCUGUUGUUAAGGAAGCGGUACUUAACCAGAAAGGGACGGCUAACUACGUGCCAGCAGCCGCGGUAAUUC